UUAAGCGACUAAGCGUACACGGUGGAUGCCCUGGCAGUCAGAGGCGAUGAAGGACGUGCUAAUCUGCGAUAAGCGUCGGUAAGGUGAUAUGAACCGUUAUAACCGGCGAUUUCCGAAUGGGGAAACCCAGUGUGUUUCGACACACUAUCAUUAACUGAAUCCAUAGGUUAAUGAGGCGAACCGGGGGAACUGAAACAUCUAAGUACCCCGAGGAAAAGAAAUCAACCGAGAUUCCCCCAGUAGCGGCGAGCGAACGGGGAGCAGCCCAGAGCCUGAAUCAGUGUGUGUGUUAGUGGAAGCGUCUGGAAAGGCGCGCGAUACAGGGUGACAGCCCCGUACACAAAAAUGCACAUACUGUGAGCUCGAUGAGUAGGGCGGGACACGUGGUAUCCUGUCUGAAUAUGGGGGGACCAUCCUCCAAGGCUAAAUACUCCUGACUGACCGAUAGUGAACCAGUACCGUGAGGGAAAGGCGAAAAGAACCCCGGCGAGGGGAGUGAAAAAGAACCUGAAACCGUGUACGUACAAGCAGUGGGAGCCUCUUAAUGGGGUGACUGCGUACCUUUUGUAUAAUGGGUCAGCGACUUAUAUUCUGUAGCAAGGUUAACCGAAUAGGGGAGCCGAAGGGAAACCGAGUCUUAACUGGGCGUUAAGUUGCAGGGUAUAGACCCGAAACCCGGUGAUCUAGCCAUGGGCAGGUUGAAGGUUGGGUAACACUAACUGGAGGACCGAACCGACUAAUGUUGAAAAAUUAGCGGAUGACUUGUGGCUGGGGGUGAAAGGCCAAUCAAACCGGGAGAUAGCUGGUUCUCCCCGAAAGCUAUUUAGGUAGCGCCUCGUGAAUUCAUCUCCGGGGGUAGAGCACUGUUUCGGCAAGGGGGUCAUCCCGACUUACCAACCCGAUGCAAACUGCGAAUACCGGAGAAUGUUAUCACGGGAGACACACGGCGGGUGCUAACGUCCGUCGUGAAGAGGGAAACAACCCAGACCGCCAGCUAAGGUCCCAAAGUCAUGGUUAAGUGGGAAACGAUGUGGGAAGGCCCAGACAGCCAGGAUGUUGGCUUAGAAGCAGCCAUCAUUUAAAGAAAGCGUAAUAGCUCACUGGUCGAGUCGGCCUGCGCGGAAGAUGUAACGGGGCUAAACCAUGCACCGAAGCUGCGGCAGCGACACUAUGUGUUGUUGGGUAGGGGAGCGUUCUGUAAGCCUGUGAAGGUGUACUGUGAGGUAUGCUGGAGGUAUCAGAAGUGCGAAUGCUGACAUAAGUAACGAUAAAGCGGGUGAAAAGCCCGCUCGCCGGAAGACCAAGGGUUCCUGUCCAACGUUAAUCGGGGCAGGGUGAGUCGACCCCUAAGGCGAGGCCGAAAGGCGUAGUCGAUGGGAAACAGGUUAAUAUUCCUGUACUUGGUGUUACUGCGAAGGGGGGACGGAGAAGGCUAUGUUGGCCGGGCGACGGUUGUCCCGGUUUAAGCGUGUAGGCUGGUUUUCCAGGCAAAUCCGGAAAAUCAAGGCUGAGGCGUGAUGACGAGGCACUACGGUGCUGAAGCAACAAAUGCCCUGCUUCCAGGAAAAGCCUCUAAGCAUCAGGUAACAUCAAAUCGUACCCCAAACCGACACAGGUGGUCAGGUAGAGAAUACCAAGGCGCUUGAGAGAACUCGGGUGAAGGAACUAGGCAAAAUGGUGCCGUAACUUCGGGAGAAGGCACGCUGAUAUGUAGGUGAAGUCCCUUGCGGAUGGAGCUGAAAUCAGUCGAAGAUACCAGCUGGCUGCAACUGUUUAUUAAAAACACAGCACUGUGCAAACACGAAAGUGGACGUAUACGGUGUGACGCCUGCCCGGUGCCGGAAGGUUAAUUGAUGGGGUUAGCGGUAACGCGAAGCUCUUGAUCGAAGCCCCGGUAAACGGCGGCCGUAACUAUAACGGUCCUAAGGUAGCGAAAUUCCUUGUCGGGUAAGUUCCGACCUGCACGAAUGGCGUAAUGAUGGCCAGGCUGUCUCCACCCGAGACUCAGUGAAAUUGAACUCGCUGUGAAGAUGCAGUGUACCCGCGGCAAGACGGAAAGACCCCGUGAACCUUUACUAUAGCUUGACACUGAACAUUGAGCCUUGAUGUGUAGGAUAGGUGGGAGGCUUUGAAGUGUGGACGCCAGUCUGCAUGGAGCCGACCUUGAAAUACCACCCUUUAAUGUUUGAUGUUCUAACGUUGGCCCCUUACCGGGGUUGCGGACAGUGUCUGGUGGGUAGUUUGACUGGGGCGGUCUCCUCCUAAAGAGUAACGGAGGAGCACGAAGGUUGGCUAAUCCUGGUCGGACAUCAGGAGGUUAGUGCAAUGGCAUAAGCCAGCUUGACUGCGAGCGUGACGGCGCGAGCAGGUGCGAAAGCAGGUCAUAGUGAUCCGGUGGUUCUGAAUGGAAGGGCCAUCGCUCAACGGAUAAAAGGUACUCCGGGGAUAACAGGCUGAUACCGCCCAAGAGUUCAUAUCGACGGCGGUGUUUGGCACCUCGAUGUCGGCUCAUCACAUCCUGGGGCUGAAGUAGGUCCCAAGGGUAUGGCUGUUCGCCAUUUAAAGUGGUACGCGAGCUGGGUUUAGAACGUCGUGAGACAGUUCGGUCCCUAUCUGCCGUGGGCGCUGGAGAACUGAGGGGGGCUGCUCCUAGUACGAGAGGACCGGAGUGGACGCAUCACUGGUGUUCGGGUUGUCAUGCCAAUGGCACUGCCCGGUAGCUAAAUGCGGAAGAGAUAAGUGCUGAAAGCAUCUAAGCACGAAACUUGCCCCGAGAUGAGUUCUCCCUGACUCUUUAAGGGUCCUGAAGGAACGUUGAAGACGACGACGUUGAUAGGCCGGGUGUGUAAGCGCAGCGAUGCGUUGAGCUAACCGGUACUAAUGAACCGUGAGGCUUAACCUU
rnacentral:rRNA from 1 species